rnacentral:snRNA from 1 species
AUACUUACCUGGCAGGGGAGAUACCAUGAUCACGAAGGUGGUUUUCCCAGGGCGAGGCUUAUCCAUUGCACUCCGGAUGUGCUGACCCCUGCGAUUUCCCCAAAUGUGGGAAACUCGACUGCAUAAUUUGUGGUAGUGGGGGACUGCGUUCGCGCUUUCCCAAA